CCUACGGGGGGCUGCAGUGAGGAAUAUUGGUCAAUGGGCGAGAGUCUGAACCAGCCAAGUAGCGUGAAGGAUGACUGCCCUACGGGUUGUAAACUUCUUUUAUAAAGGAAUAAAACGAGGCACGUGUGCCUUUUUGCAUGUACUUUAUGAAUAAGGAUCGGCUAACUCCGUGCCAGCCGCCGCGGUAAUACGGAGGAUCCGAGCGUUAUCCGGAUUUAUUGGGUUUAAAGGGAGAGUAGAUGGUUUGUUAAGUCAGUUGUGAAAGUUUGCGGCUCAACCGUAAAAUUGCAAUUGAUACUGGCAGUCUUGAGUACAGUUGAGGUAGGCGGAAUUCGUGGUGUAGCGGUGAAAUGCUUAGAUAUCACGAAGAACCCCGAUUGCGAGGGCAGCUUACUAAACUGCCACUGACAUUGAUGCUCGAAAGUGUGGGUAUCAAACAGGAUUAGAUACCCCUGUAGUC
rnacentral:rRNA from 1 species